rnacentral:rRNA from 1 species
GUGGUCGGUGUACAGGUGGUGCAUGGUUGUCGUCAGCUCGUGUCGUGAGAUGUUGGGUUAAGUCCCGCAACGAGCGCAACCCUCGUCCUAUGUUGCCAGCGGGUCAUGCCGGGGACUCAUGGGAGACUGCCGGGGUCAACUCGGAGGAAGGUGGGAUGACGUCAAAUCAUCAUGCCCCUUAUGUCUUGGGCUUCACGCAUGCUACAAUGGCCGGUACAAAGGGCUGCGAUACCGCGAGGUGGAGCGAAAUCCCAGAAAGCCGGUCUCAGUUCGGAUUGGGGUCUGCAACUCGACCCCAUGAAGUCGGAGUCGCUAGUAAUCGCAGAUCAGCAACGCUGCGGUGAAUACGUUCCCGGGUCUU